rnacentral:misc_RNA from 1 species
GAUGAAGAACGUAGCGAAAUGCGAUACGUAGUGUGAAUUGCAGAAUUCAGUGAAUCAUCGAAUCUUUGAACGCACAUUGCACCUCUCGGUAUUCCGGGAGGUAUGCCUGUUCGAGCGUCAUUUGUACCCUCAAGCUCUGCUUGGUGUUGGGUGUUUGUUCCGCCUCUGUGUGUGAACUCGCCUCAAAACAAUUGGCAGCCGGCGUACUUGUUUCGGAGCGCAGCACAUUUUGCGAUCCAGAUCAACGUACAGCGGCAUCCAAGAAGCCUUAUUUAACGCUCUUGACCUCGGAUCAGGUAGGGAUACCCGCUGAACUUGAGCAUAUCAAUAAGCGGAGGA